CGGUUAUACCAUUUGUUUUUGAAGCAUCUCCUUCCUUUACAUCAAAAGCUCUCGAAAGAGAUGCGAAUGAAACUAUAUCGUUUAGAUCAGUGUCUUUUUGUAUGGAUGAACCUACUAUUUAAUAAAUAAAAUCCUUCCAGUUCCAAAGUAAAAAAAAUAAUUUAUGCGGUUACCAUAACCCUACACAUUUUGCAGUUGAUCUAUUUCACUUGAACAAUUAUGAGAGCUUAUCUUGGUGUCUAACUCAGUUCCCACAAAGAUGGUGUUCCUUGCUUUCCAAAUCAGAGCUACAACUACAGCCACUACCAGUUCCCUACAUACCCUUGAAAUAAUCCUACCAGUCUUCAUAUGGUUAAUCCAUCCAAAUAUUGUCAGCCUUCUGAGCUAUGUUCCAAACAUAUUGCAUGUAUAGUUUGUGAUCCCUAGACUCCUUCUCACUUUAAUCUGCACACCAAUUCCCAUGCCACAAGAUCGAGGUAGUUUAGUAGUGCUGUUCACUGUCCCAUCCCUAAGAAAAUGAUACUCACUUUUUUUUUAAUCAGUAUAAAAAAUAAUGACACAUUUUCAUAUUUAGUAACAAUUCAACUAUUUUAUUUUUAAUGAAAUAAUUUAUAGUCACACAAACAUCUAUCACUUAUUUUAGAACACAAAUUUCAAAAAUCUUUCUUUCUUUCUUAAACUGCAUGACAAGUCAAACUAAUUCAUAUAAAAUGAGACAACAGGGAGUAUUAAUCCUUUUGAGACCAAGUCAAAGGAAAAAUUUUACCAUGGGAGAGGCCCAACCAACCAAAGUUGGGUGAGGCUCCAUCCAUGUUUUGACACGUGGAUUAUGAUCAUCUUAACAUAAAGGCUGAAAAAAAAAAAAUCAAAAAGUAAAUAAUGGGGUCUACAUGUAUUAAAUGUUCACUCAAAUCAAAGAUAGAAGAUAAACAAGGUUCACUCAAAUCUAAGAGAGAGAAGAUGAACAAAGUUCUGGGUUUCUUUUCCUCUUGUUCAAAGGAGAAAGAAAUUAACUUUCAAAUCAUUUUUUCUUCUUCUUCUUUCUUAAAAAAUUGGAUGAAGAUAUGAAUGAUUCUCCUUAAAGCUUCUUCUGCGAUUUUUAUCUAUUUAUGAUUUUCAGGUACGAAUUUUUUUUCGUCUUUCUUGAACUUUUUAAUACUAUCAACACAAUUAAAUUAACAAAAACAUAUUACAUAUAUAUAUAUUUGACAAUAGAUCUCUAUGGAUCUUCUUGCUUUGCAUGUCACUUGUAAUGUCAAAAUACAAAAAAAAAAUUGUUGCAUUGAUUUUUAAUGCUUCAAAUAUCAAAAAUUAAGAUCUGCACCGAAGAUCAAAUUGAAUUUUCUUCAAAUAUCUGUUUGUUUGAUUGUUGACUCUGCAUGCAAGCUUCAGAUUGUGAAUUCAGAUUUUGAGUCAAAAAUUGAGGAAAAAUAUUGGAUGAAUCUCCAAUAUUAAAUUUGGAUGCAAUAUUUCUUGAAAUUACCAAUACUAAUAUCUUAUAUUGGCAGGAACUUUCUACCAAGCAUGAAGAUCAUUUAUGACAACAAUGAAUGAUACAUAGAUAAUUGUGUCACACAAUUUUGAGCAUUUUGCACAAGAUAAUGCAAUAUUUUGCUUUCAAGAUGUGUAUAAAAUAUAUUUAUCUAUAUGUAUAAUGAGGAUUAUUAAUAAACAACUUCUCAUUCUAUUUAAAAUUUUAGUAAGAAAAUAUUAUUGUACAAAUAUAAAGAAUAUUGAGAACAAAGAGAGUAAAAGAAAUAAGUUCAUAGAUCUAUAUAUUUUGUAACUUUACUUGAACAAAAUUUGAACGUCUCUAGAGAGUAAAAGAUCAACAAUGGUGUAUUUUUGAUUUAGAGCAACAAUGAUGUAUUUUUGUUUUAGAGCUUUUACUUUGUUUGGUUUAGAUAUGAAAGGCAAAGAUCUUAAUUAAGGAAGGAAAAUAGUACUCUCUUUCCCUCCAUUUUUAUUGUACUAUAUAAAAGUUUAUUUUUAUUUUUAUUUUAUUUCAUUUGCAAAAUACACAUAUUGGCCCACAGUCCACAUGUCAAAAAAUGGAUGGAGCCUCUCCCAUGGUAAAUUUUUUCAAGUCAAAGCUAUAUUGGUGUGUCUGCAUGAUCAAUUUUAGGUACCAAUGUUAUCACAGUGCUAUUCAAGGCGCAAAAACAUCUGCCCAGUAUUGAAAAAGUUCCAUUACCUCUACUUUAUAAGUUCUUCAUUCCUUUACAAAAGGCCAACAAUCCUUGAUGAAUUGAAGAAAACAUAAUUUACUCUAUUAUGCAAUAAAUUAGGCUUCUUUACAACCUUUGUUGAUAGAAAUAAUAUAGAUGCAUUUAUUCACGUACCUAGAAGAUGAUGAGAUGUUGCACUCGUAUCUUAUUUGUUGACUUUGCAUGCCCUUAUACUCUAUAUUAAUGCAUGCUCAAUUGUAUAACUAACUUGGAAGAGUCUCCACAAAUAUUUCUACGACCAACCAAUGUCUGGAAGGCCAAUAUUCAAAUCAGUCUCCAUCCUGCUACACUUAUCCUUUUCUGUCAGUUGGGCUGGUCGUGUUAGGUCAACCGGUAGUUCUAAUGCUGCUGGUCUUACUCCUCCACACUAGCAACAUCAUGAUUUUAUAAGAAUUGUCAACAAAAACACAUGUAACUGAAGAGUUUAUGUUUGAUGGUGAAAGAAAUAUUUACAUAAUAACUCGUCUUCAAUGUGGAGAAUCAACCCAUCCCCAACAAGAUGAAAGUUCAGGUAAUUAACCAACUGAGUUACUAAGAUUCUCAUAUAAUAAGUCCAACAAAAUGAAAGUUCAGGUAGUUAACCAACUGAGUUACUAAGAUUCUCAUAUAAUAAGUCGUUGAUAAAGUAAAUCUCGAUGUUAACCAUCAAGAUUAUGAUAACAGAUUGAUUAUGUAUCACAAUUUUCAUCACUACAUGGAAGGCUUUCUUGUAAAUAUAUUGACAAGACCAAGGAUAAAUUGUACUCCCUCUGUUUUAAAAAGAAUGUCCUAGUUUGACUGGGCACGGAGUUUAAGAAAAUAAAAAAGACUUUUAAAUCUUAUGGUUCUAAAGUAAAGUUAUGUCAAAUGUAUUAAAUUGUUCUUUAAUCUUGUGGCCUCAAAAAUAUCACGUGGAAAGCUGAAAUUAAAAUGUUACCAAAAAAGGAAAGAGGUCAUUUUUUUUUAAACAUACUAAAAAGGAAAGGAGGUCAUUCUUUUUUAAAUAGAGGGAAUAGUAAUUUAUCUUCUAUAACUGGUUUAAAAUUUACUUGUAGCGUAAAAAGUCUUUACAUGCACGGAUAGUGUAUACAAUAAUUUUUGAUUUAUUGGAUCUAAAUUUCUUUAGCAUAAUUGUCAGCCAUGGUUGCACAGUUUACUCUUAACGCUUGAAUUUGCAAACUAGUGAUUUUGCGUGUUGAAAUGAUAUGUUGCUCGAACUCUUUAAAAAUAUUAUUAUAUCGAUCAAAUCCUUUAAAAAAGGCACUUUUCAAGGAUCCAACAGACCCAUGCAUCGACAUUUGAAGAAGUACCAGCAACAUUUUCAAAAUGUGGAUACUAGUUAGGGGAAAGAGGAAAUAUUGAACGGGUAACUACAUGAGUCGUCCUAUAAACAUAAGCUUCCACUUGACAAGGUGAUAUGUUAUUACUUCAAUUUGUUUGUUAGAAUAUGACUUGACACGAAAUUUAAUAAAGUAAAGAAAACUUUUGAAUCUACGGUGUUAAACUAAACAUACGUUGGAUGUACUAAAAUGCUCUUUAAUCUUGUAGUCUUAAACAUGUCAAAGUUGAAACUAAAAAGUUGUCAAAAAAAUGAAAAAGACAUUCCUUUUGAAACAAACUAUAGAAAAAAAGUAAGACAAAUUAAAAUAGAUAGUCUAAUUAUUAAUUCAAAUCGAAAAGGAAGAUUUAUGGGAGAGUUCACCUUUUCAGAUAACCUUGCAUUUUCUUCACGCAAUAGUCUCUCCUGCACAAGAGGAACACAAAUGGGUGUUUGCUAAUUCAGUGAAAUUAAAUUAGCAAGUACUAGUAAAAUUGCAUUGAAGUUGUAUCAUCAUACCCUUUCUUUUAGCCGUUGUAUUUCGUCCUUGAAUAAUUGAGACUACAAAAUGACCAACAUAAGAAUUGGUUAACCAAUGAAGUCAAAUCAUGUAAACAUGUUAAGCUGAAUUGCAUAUUAAUUCAUAUGUUUCAAUUUAUAUGAUUCACCAUUCUUUUAAGUCAAGCUCAGUUAAGAAUAGCACAUAUCUAUAUCUAGUAACACUUUUAAACACAAAUUUCAAAAUUCUUUUUUUCUUUUAAACUGCAUGUCAAGUCAAACUAUAUGACAAUGAGAGUAAUACCUUUCUCGCCCUGAUGAUCUUCAAGCUUCUCUCUAGCUGGUUGUCGAUCUCUUGAAGUUCAUUCAUUGAACAUGAUCCAAUGCCUUGCCCCAAAAGCUUCCUAAGCAUUGAAAUUCAAUACGCCAAGAAAUUGUUUAAAAAGAGACUACAUUCAAACUGGAAAACCUAACUGCUAAGACUGACUACAAUACCGUUUGGAAAUUUCAAGGAUCUCUAUCUUCUUUGCAAUGUUUGCUGUUUCUUCCUUCAAUUGCUGCAAAUCAUGAAAUAAAGUAUGGAACAAAACCAACAACAGAUGAUGAGGUGCAACAAUGAGGAAUUUAAACCAUAAAUUUCAUGACAUUAUUCCAGAUGUUAACAAAUGACUUCUACGAACUGUAUAUCAGUAUAUUUACACAAAAGCCCAGAUCACCAAUAUGGAUUAAUAUCUUGCACAAGGCAAUUCCAGUUGAAUCAUCAUUAUUUGCCAAGAACAGUAAAGAUAAGAUAUUUCGGUGUAACUCAAUUGUAAAAACGGGCUCAUAAGAGGAGAAUAGUCCAAGAUCAUAUAAGGAGUUCAUGUUCUCAUCCCACAAAUGGUGGGGAACUCCACAAUAUAAGAUAGGAACCCAACAUUAGAAACAAUGAAUUAGGAUGAACCUGAUUCUACUACUCUGUAAAGAAAUGAAUCUUGCAUCUAACUCAACCUAAAAAACUAACUCAUAGGUGAGCUAAGUUGCUCGAACUCUUCACUUUUGAUGCCGCACCCGUAUUGACACAACAUGAGUGUGGAAUUCGUGUCCAAUUUGGUCAACUGAUGGGAUAUGACAUAAGUAUCCCCUAGAUUAUGACCGAAAUUCCAGAGACACACCUUAACUAAACUAAGGUCCUAUUACCCCCGAACUCAUUUUUUAUAUAAUUUUGUACACCUUUUGGCUUAUGUGGUACAUUCCGUGACUCCACACAGUUUAAGCACUUGGGAGAUAUUUGGAUGUCACGUAAGCCGAAAGGGUGUACAAAAUUAUUUUUAAAAUGGGUUCAGGGGGUAAUAGGAUCUUAGUUUAGUUAAUGUGUGUCUCUGGGAUUUCGAUAAUAGUCUAAGGAGGUAUUUGUACCUUUUUUCUAUGAUUCUUGGUACUUUGACCAUAAUCGAUGGGGGUAAGUGUGGACAGUUUUAAUGAUUGUCUGUAAUCAAUACAAAAGCUAAUGUGAAAUUGAAGAAAGUUAAAUACCUUUUAUAUAGAAAUUUCUGUCACUCCUUUUCCAAAUCUCCUUCUAGGAUUCUCCUUAAAUUCUCCCAUAAUAUCUCAUAAUUUAGGUUUUCUAACUCUAUUUAUAGAUAUUUUAAUUAUUUUUAAGCGAAUCCCCGCUUUCGUAUCCCUGCAUGGAUCCAUAUCUCCGAAUCUUAAAAAUUAGAUCAUGAAGGAUCCAACAUCUAGAUCCACACCCGUAUCAAACACCCAUACCCGAGUCCAAACAACUUCGUAGGUGAGUAUUGUUCAAAUCUUAUAAGGAUCUUAAAGUUCUUGUCAUUCACCGAUAUGAGAUUAAUUCCAUUCAUCACCCCCUCUCACACCCAAAUCCGAACGAUUGGAUUUUCACUAUUCGGUUUGGUGUGUGCACAUUCAUGGACUAAAGAAUUUUCCACCUCCUAGCUAUAAUUGCUCUGGACCUUUGGUCCAUAUAAAUCAAUUCAGCUGUGAUACCAUCUCAAAUCAAUUAGUAAAGAAAUGAACCUUGGGCUUAACUUAAUCCUAAAAAACUAGCUUAUAGGGUGAACAUUGUUCAAAUUCAUAUAAGAAGACUAAUUACUCAUUCUAUAUCUGAUGUGGGACUCUUAAAACUCCCUUGCACACUCAUGUCUUGUUAAGUGGAGCAGGAAAAAUACAAUAUGAGGGGCCAACAUCGGUGAAUCAACAAUUGAGACGGGUCUGACUUUACUAUCAUGUAAAGAAAUGAAGGUCUAACUCAAUCUCAAAAGCAAACCCAUGAAGGAAGCGUUGUCAUAGUCCAUAUAAGUAAACUAUCAGUCUAAUCAAUGUGAGACUUUAAGCCACUCUAACACCCUUUUCAUGUCCAGACCCAAUCGGAGCGUGGACAAUUGGGAGCCCAAAUCGAAAUGGACUUAGCUAUGAUACCAUGUAAAAUAUAUAACAUUUGAGUUUAACUCAACCACAAAUCUAGCUCAUGAGGGGAGUAUUUCCCAAGAUAAUAUAAGGAAUACAUGUUCUCAUACGACAAAUGAUGUAGAUUUCCAACACCACAAUCACCACCACCCCUUACCCCACCCCCACCACCCACACAUUUAGAUGAUGUGGACAUUUGGAGCAUGGAUAAUAUAAGACGGGGAUUAAACAUCAUAAACAAUAAAUUUGAAUAGGCCUGACCCUGAUACUUAAAGAAAUAGUUCUUAAUACUAACUCAACCCCAAAAUUAACUAAUAAGUUGGAGAUUGUCCAAGUUCAUAUAAGAAAGAAAGUUACUCAUGUGAGACUUGUUGGAGGUUUUAAGAUGUCAAUGAAAAAUGUAUCUUUAGAUUCCACCAAAAACACACCUUUUAGAUUGCAUCUCUUUGUCUCACCUUUUCAUUCUCUGUAACUUUAAUUUAGUGGUUUUGCCUCAAAUUUUAGGGACUAAUAUACAACAAAUACUCUUCUUGUUACCAUCAUUUAUAUAUCAGUUUAAAAAUAAAAUAAUGUUAUAUUGUGUGAUUUGCUUUAUUUGUUGCGUUCAUCGGAGUCCUAUAAUUUAUGUUGCCGCUAUUCUAUAAAUGUUUUUUUGUUUUAUCCUGGAAAGAUAUAACCCAAAUCUCAACAACAGUGAAGGGGUCACUACAACAAAAAUAACUUUAGCGGCAAUAAAUAGACACAUUAAUAAAGAGUGCUAAAUUCUUUAUCGGCGGCAUUAGUUAAGUGUCAUUAGAUUCAGUGUUGCUAAAGGAUUUAGGGACAUACAAAGAGUGCUAAUUGCCACUAAAAAUACAUAUUUAGCGGUAAUUAAGCUAUUGUCAUUAAUUAAUUAUCGCUAAAAAUCAUUUUUGAUGUAGGUUACCAUUUCUUUAAGGACACAUAAACAACUUGUGGACUUGGAAUAAUUUUGUACUUUUAACUACAUUUCUAUUUAAUUGUUUUUCUGUUUAUAAAAACAACCAUUGGUUUAUAUAAUUAGUAUCUGAAACAUAAAUAAUAUACAACUCUUAACAAGAACACCCGAGAGAAAUGUGAUGCCUAUCUUCUCCAAAAAAAAUUGGGAUAUUAGGCAAUGGGCAUUCCCAAAUAUCAACAUAAUCCUAUAGAUCACUAUGAGCCUACAAGAUUUACAAGUUGUACCAGCUUCAAGGAGAGUUAAACUAUUCUUCAGGAAGAAAUACUAAGCAAAAGGAUAAGAAUAUUACAAUUGUACUAAAUCAUCAUACGUUAGCUCAGAACUUUUCUUCUUUCAAAUCCUGAAAUUCUGCUCUUUCCGUUUGUGAAUAUUCAAAAGUCCUCUAGUCUACGAUUGUUUGGGGUUUACGAUUUUCCUUCCAUUCUUUACUCUUUACAUACUUGUAUAUAUAUACAUGUAUUGUUUAAUGAUGAAAUACACAAAAUUCUUCCAUUCUCUUCUUUAUAAGUAAAAAUAAAAAUACAUUCUAAAUAUAGUGGACAAGUAAAAGCGAACAAAGGGAAUAGUAAUGGAGAUUGGCCGGGUAGUUGGUUAUAUUAGGCUAACCAUACUAAUAUAAUCAGUACUUAGGUCACCAUACAAUUCCACAUGUCAUUUUCUUAUUGGCUAAUUAAAUAACUAACUACUAAUAUAGCAAGUACUGGUGUCCACUUACUACUUUACCAACUUCACAUAUCUACACUCUCCCUCAAGUUGAGAAUGGAAAAUGUUCUUCAUUCCCAACAUGACUAAUAAGUAUGCAUGUUAUUGAUGUCCUAAGGUCUUGAUAAAGAUAUCAGCUGGUUGUUCUUUUGGAAUUGAAAUUGACAAAGUUGAUACAUAUUAACAAACAACCAUGGAAGAAGAGAUAACUGAUCAAGCUCUUGCUGCAAUGGAGCUUCACAAUCAAAUGAAAAUCAGAUACAAACAUAAUCAGUUGCUCGAUUCACAGAUAGUCUACAUUUCAAGUGGCCCAAGAUAUGGAAGUUUCACAACCUUUGGAUCAAGCAAUAUAAGUUUUAAUUCUGACCAUCCAAGCUCAUUUAGAAGAGCUGAUUUGGAUAAACAGGAAAGGUACAAGUGGAAGCAAAAAUGAGGCAACAAAUAAUCCAAAUUUCCCUUGACAUAUUUAUUCAAAUUAUGUACAAAAUAGUACAUACAUAGCUGUCCAAAAUUGGAUUGUAGUGAUAGCCAAUCAGAUUCCAUUUACGUAUAGGAAUACUUUUGUUUUCUUCUCUUUAGGUAUUUUGUAUAUAUACAUCACGGCUAAAUGAUUAGAAAGAAAGAAAAAAAUUUCCAUUCUUAGUCUCUGAUUUUCCACAUGGUAUCAUAGCAACAUUGAGAAUCUGAUCUCUUUGUUGCCUCAUCUUCCCUUUUCUUUAUCCCUACUCUCAAUUUCUCAGUUCAACAAUGGUGACAACAACAGAUCCCACUUCGGUAGCACUACAGGCACUAGAAAUACCACCAACCCUAGAAUUGAUCACACACAUCCUUUCUAUCUUCAUGCUUCAAGUUAUCUAUAAAUGAAUCUUGUUAACUCACCCUUUAAUGGGAAAGGUUAUGGUGGAUGGAGGAGAUCAAUCUUGAUAGCUCUUUCAGCUAAGAAUAAGGUUGGGUUCAUUGAUGGUACUCACAAAGAACCAACUUUGAUAUCACCAGAUUUCAAGCUAUGGAACAAAUGUAAUGCUAUGGUUUUGUCAUGGCUACUUAACUCUCUUUCAAAAGAAAUAGCUGACAGUGUUAUCUACUCCAAGACAGUCAAGGAUCUAUGGAAAGAACUUGAGGACAGAUUUGGCUAGUCCAAUGGAUCACCUGCAAAAGGAGUUGAGUGACUUGGUGCAGGGUUCAAAUGAUAUUGUUGUCUAUUUCACAAAGAUCAAAAGUCUCUGGGACGAUCUUGAUGCUUUGUCUGUCUAUUGCUUAUGUGACUGCUAAUGUGGUGGAAAAGGAAAAAUGGCUAAGUCUAUUCAAAAUGAGAGAUUGAUCCAAUUUCUUAUGGGUUUGAAUGAUGUUUAUGCUGCUGGAAAGAGUAACAUAUUGAUGCUCUCACCUUUACCCUCCGUGAAUCAUGCUUACUCACUCCUAAUGCAAGAUGAAAAGCAAAGGGAGGUGUAUAUGAGCACACAUUAUCCAGGAAACUCUGUUUCUUUCUUGGCCACAAAUCAGAACACUCUUGGUCAAAGAUCUGGAUAUUAUGAGUCUAAGGGAAAGAAAACCACUAUUAUAUGUUCUCGCUGUAAGAAACCUGGGCAAUAUGUGGAUAAAUGUUAUAAGAUAAUAGAUUUUCCAAGUGAUUUCAAGUUUACUAAGACAAAGAGGUUCCAGGAAAGUGUGAAGAGCAAUGCUGCUUACAUAGAAGGAACACAAGGACAAAGUAGAGCACAUUUUAAUGGAGAACGACAUGGACGACAUUUCACCCAGGAUCAAUAUUCACAACUGAUUCAUAUGCUUCAGAAUGUGAGGGUGAAUCAAUCAGAAGGUUCAUUAAUUUCAAUCAAAGAACCUGGAUAUUGGAUUCAGGUGCUACUCAACAAAUGUGUUUUGAUUCAAAGAUCUUCUUAGAACUUAAUACUCUUAAGAUUCCUGUAUUUGUCGAUCUUCCUAAUUCUCAUAGGGUCAAGAUUCCUCAAGUUGGAAAUGUUCCUUUACAUACUAAACUCAUUUUGAAAAAUGUCUUAUUUGUUCCAUAUUUCAAAUAUAACCUCAUUUCAGUCUACAAGCCGUGUAAACAGUUAAGUUGCUUACUCAUUUUUUCCUCUUUUGGUUAUUUUUUGUAGGGCCCUUCAAUGAAGAGGCCUCUAGCAUUUGGUAAAGCAAGAGCAGGACUAUAUCUCCUAGAGUCAAGUUUCCAGUACCUUAAGAGUUUCGUCAGCACAUCAGUUAAUUUGUGCAAUCAAGAAAAAUCUAGAUGUCUUUCUGUUUCAAGCAAUUUUUCAAUUCCUGUAAAGAAUGCUUCUGAUGUAAGGCUGUGACACCUUAGAUUGGGGCAUAUGCCAUUUCAAUCAAUGAAGAAUAUUUGUUCAGAUCUUGUUUCUCCUCUUUAUUUUAAUUCUAAUUGCAAUAUAUGUCCUUUAGCUAGAUAAUCCAAGUUACCUUUUCAAUCUAGUAAUAUCAAUUCUAAGAAGAUCUUUGAAUUAAUCCAUAUUGUCACUUGGAGGCCAUACAAAACUUUCUCUCAUGAUGGAUGCAAAUAUUUUUUAACUAUAGUAAAGCAACUUGGACUCAUCUUCUAAAAGCAAAAAGUAAUGCUUUCAUUGUCUUAAAGUAUUUUUUGGUGAUGGUUGAAAGACAAUCAACGUCAAAUCAAGUCCGACAAUGCAUUGGAAUUGGGUGGAAGCAACCUGUCAGCUAAAUUUUUUGCAUCACAAGGUAUUGUUCAUCAAACCAUUGUGUUCAUACUCUACAACAAAAUGGUGUUGUGGAGAGAAAACACAAGCAUUUUCUCGAGGUAUCGAGGGCACUACUUCAUCAAUCUAAAUUGCCUAUUUCAUAUUGGGGAGAUUGUGUCAUGACUGCUACAUACCUUAUAAAUCGAUAUCUCUCUAAAGUCCUUAAAAACAAAACUCCCUAUGAGGUUCUAUUUGGAAGUCCUACUAAUUACUCCUAUCUUAGGAACUUUGGUUGUCUAUGCUAUGCUAGUAUUGUGGCGCACAAUAGGGGAAAGUUUGAGCCUAGAGUCAUUCUGUGUGUCUUCACACGUUAUCCUCAUGGAAAAAAGGGAUGUAGAUUGCUUGUUUUGGAUAUUAGAAAGAUAAUAGUUUCCAGAAAUGUCAAGUUUCAUGAAAAUAUUUACCCUUUUUCCACCAUCUCAAGUUCACAAACCUCAUUCUCAACUCAUAUAUUUACCACUGAUCAUUCUAUCUCACAAACUGACUUUCUACCAAAUAUUGAACCAGAUCCUUUUUUACCUCAAAAUCAUGAACCUGAAAGUAUGAAUGAGGUGCCUAAUACAUCACAUUUGGACACAAAAAUUGAAUAACAACAUGUUGAUACAGGGAACUCAGAAGGACUUUACUCUGUGACCUUGCAUGAGACACAAGAUAUUUCACCUUCCACAGGCACGCAGAGAAAGUUAGAAAGAAUACACAAGAAACCAGCCUACUUAGAAGAGUAUGUCUGCAAUACAGUUCUUUUGACAGAUCUAACCAAUACUUGUUUCAGUCGGCCUAUUAUCCCUAAAAACUAUUCUUUUGCUAGCCUAUCCACAACAAAUCAACAACUCUUGAACUCUAUUUCAAACAUCACAUAACCAACUUCUUAUGCCCAGGCAGCGUUACAUUCGGAAUGGAAAUUGGCUCUGUAAGAUGAAAUUAGAGUACUCCUUGAGAAUCAAACUUGGAAAGUCAUGGAAUUACCAAAAGGAAGGAAAGCAUUACCAUGUAAAUGGGUUUACAAAAUCAAGCAUAAUUCUGAUGGAAGUAUAGAGAGGCUAAAAGCAAGAUUGGUGAUUAGAGGAGAUAUUCAGAAGGAAGGUAUUGAUUUUAGUGAGACUUAUUCACUGGUUGUAAAAAUGACAACUAUUAGGUGCUUAUUGACUAUAGCAGUGAAGCAAGAAUGGAAUAUUUAACAACUAGAUGUCAAUAAUGUAUUUUUCCAUGGAGAAAUUGAUGAGGAGGUUUUCAUGAAGUUUCCAAUAGGAAUGCAAUCACUUAGUUCUCAACAUGUUUGCAAACUGAAGAAGUCUCUAUAUGGAUUCAAGGCAAUGGUACUCAAAAUUGGCAAAAGCUUUAAAUUCCAAAGGUUUUUGCUCAUCACUCAAUGACUACUCACUUUUCUUCAAGAAACCAGAAACUAAUAUCUCCAUUCUAGUUGUCUAUGUAGAUGAUAUUAUUCUAACAGAAAAUAAUGAAGCAGAACUAGUGCAGCUAAGAGAGUUCUUGCCUUUAGAAUUUAAGCUCAAAGAUUUGGGAGAUUUACACUACUUUCUAGGACUUGAAAUCCUCCGGGAGCCAACAGGAAUAAUAGUAAGUCAAAGAAAGUUUACUCUGGAGCUUUUAAAUGAGUUCAAUUGUGAUCAUUUACCCCUCGUCUCUUCUCCACUCGAUUCAUCUUUGAAGUUGGAUUUUUUUCGCUGGUGAUUUGUUGACUGAUCCAACUUCCUAUCGGAGACUCCUUGGAAAAUUGAAUUAUCUCACCCACAUUAGGCCAGAUCUCUCUUUCGCAGUUCAUCAUCUCAGUCAGUAUAUGUAACAACCAAGAGGACCUUAUUUUAUAUUUGUAUUAAGAGAACUCCUAUAUCUCAGGUCAAAUCCAAGCCAAUGCCUUUUCUUAUCUGUUGAUCCUUCAUUCAAAUUACUUGCUUUUUGCGAUGCAGAUUAGGGUUCUUGCCCCAACACUCGUAGAUCAAUCAGCGGGUUCUUUAUCAGCUUGCGAGGAUCCCCAAUCUCAUGGAGAUAAAAAAAAAAGCAAGCAUCUGUUUCUUUAUCCUUUGCUGAGGCAGAGUAUAGAUCUAUGAGAAGAGUUAUUUCAGAGAUCACUUGGCUCACUUGAUUACUCACAGAUCUUAGAGCUACUCCUUCAGUUCCGAUUCCACUUCAUUUUGAUAGCCUAGCCGCAAUCUAGUUUUUCAUGAACGAACCAAACAUGUAGAAAUUGAUUUCCAUUUUGUUCGGCAAUAAUUCCUUUUCGAUUUGAUUUCUCUUCAAUUCGUCCCCUCUACCUCUCAGCUUGCAGACUUAUUCUCUAAACCUUUAUCGGGACCAUCUCAUCAUUCAAUUCUCAGCAAGUUGGGUCUUGCUUCACUCCCCUCCAACUUGAAAGAGGGUGUUGGAAUUGAAAUUAACAAAGUUGAUACAGAACAACAAACAACCAUGGAAGAAGAGAUAAUUGAUCAAGCUCUUACUGCAAUGGAGCUUCACAAUAAAAUGAAAAUCAGAGACAAACACAAUCAGUUGUUUGAAUCUCAGAUAGUCUACACUUCAAGUGGCCCAAGAAAUGAAAAUUUCACAACCUUUGGAUCAAGCAAUAUAAGUUUUAAUCCUGACCAUCCAAGCUCAUUUAGAAGAGCUGAUUUGGAGGCUUAUUUGGACAAACAGGAAAGGGCCAAGUGGAAGCAGAAAUGAGACAACAAAUAAUCCAAAUUUCCCUUGACAGAUUUAUUCAAAUUAUGUACAAAAUAGUACAUACAUAGCUGUCCAAAAUUGGAUUGUAGUGAUAGUCAAUCAGAUUCCAUUUACGUAUAGGAAUACUUUUGUUUUCUUCUCUUUAGGUAUUUUGUAUAUAAACAUCACAGCUGAAUGAAUAGAAAGCAAGAGAAAAUUUCUCAUUCUUAGUCUCUGAUUUUCCAUAUGUUCUUUACUUACAAUGUAGUCAGUCUUGAUAAGUCCUUAAUGUAGUUUUUCUUAAUAAAUAAUAAUCAAUCUCUAUGUGUUUUUUCAUAGUACAUGAAAUUGACUGCUAUCUACAAGAUUGUCUUGUUGUCACCAUACAGCUCCAUUGGCAACUGUACAUCUACAUGUAACUCUUGCUGUAACCCCUUCAACCAUGUUAGUUCUACAACUGUCUGAGUCAUGCAUUUGUAUUCUGCUUCAACAAAACUCCUUGAAAUGAUGCUUUGUUUCUUAGACCUCAAAGAAAUGAGUGAGGUGCCUAGUUUAAUGUAAAAAUCAGAUAUAUAUUUUUUUGGACAUUGGACAUGAAGCCGAAUCAAAAUCACAAAAGGUCUCAAUCUUCUCAUUUCCUUUCUAGACAUCAAUAGAUUAAGCACUGGUUGACUUUUGACAUACCUCACCACAUGUAAGGCUACUUUGUAAUGAGAUUUCUUUGGUGUAUGCAUGAAUUGACUUAAGGAUUGAACUACAUAUAGAAUGUAUCACGUCUUGUAAUUGUGAAAUACAAAAAAUUUGCCUAAUAAUUUUUAGUAGACUUCUCUGUCUUGCAGAAGCUCAUCAACAUGAUCAGUAGGAAAGCUCAUAUUAUACACAUUAUUGGUUAAUUUUAGUGGACUUUGUAAAGAGGGAAUAAUCAUGCUUGCUUUGUGUGAAGCCAGAGCUCAUCAACACUUGUGUCAAUAUUAAGUUCUAUUGCCUAGAUGCAUAUUUCAAGCCAUAUAGGGGUUUAAGUAGCCAACUAACUUUAGAUUUUCCAUGACUACCAAAACCUCAUGGCAAGAACAUGUAAUUCUCUUCAAAGAAUCAUUAUUAAAAAAACAGCAUUAUUGACUUCCAUUUGAAAAUAAGCCAAUGCUUAAGAACAACAAUCUUGGUCAUAAGAUAAAAAAAAUGUAAUGAAAACCGAUUUCCUUCUAUUCUGUGCAUCCUUUAGACUCCAACCUAGUCUUAAACCUCUCAAAAGUACCAUCAACAUGGUAUUUCACACAUUUAAAGCCAAUCGGGACUUUGCUAGGAGGCAAGGCAACCACCUUUCAGGCGUAGUUGUGAGUAAGAAAAAGGAUCUUGAAAGAAAGAAGAUGAAGAAAAGCUUGGAAAUGUGAAGAGAGGUGAGCAGAAGAAAGAUGAUAUUAAAAACAUGAAUCGUUUCAAAGAGAAAAGUGAGAUUAUUGUCUGAUCUUUAUCUGUGAAUCCCCAAAUAUGCAUCUUUAAGUGUUUCAACCAAUCUCCAAUCUCUCAAUAUCAAUAUUUCAAUUGUUCAAACUGGUGUAGGUACAAAAGUAGCUACAAUAGAGCAACUUACUUCUGAUAUGAAUUUACCGAUUGAACAAGAUUCAUCCACCUUUUUCACCUUUUUGAAAUGAUAAAAAGAACAAGUAGAAAUAGAAGGACAUACAAAAAAGGUAGGGAUAAAGAAGGAUAGACUUUAUUGAUGAACUAGAUGAAUAGUUUAGAGAGUCUAACAGACUUUCUAGGAGGAGAAGAAAACGAUGAAAGUAGAGGAAGUUUAACAGGUGUUGGGAGGUUAAAGAGUUAUAAGAUAAUUUGUAGGAGGAAGAAACGAUGGAGAAGCAAAGGAAGGGAGAUCAUAGAAGGAAAAAAUUGAGGAUGGAGGAGUAGGAUAUGUUAUAGAAAUAAGAAGAAAUUUAGAAUAUCCAUGUAGAACAGUGCUAGGUAGCCUAUUUAUGAUAUAUGUGAUUGUAAGGAUGUAAUCACAUCAGAAUUUAAAAGGGAUACUGACUCAGGGGCGGCUCAAACCCAUUGGUGGCAUAAGGCCAAAAUCAAACUAGAGGCAUUAAAAAAAAAAAUUAAAAAAUUAAAAAUGUUUUUAUUUUACAUCUAUUUUUCUAGCUUUUUGAGAUGCAAAGUUAAUAAUUUUUGUGUAGUCAAUCUCUUCUAAUAAUUAUUUUUCAUUCGAUAGUAUAGCCAAACCACUUCUAAAAUUUAUCAAGAGCACCUUUUUGAGAUUUUAUCAAUCGACUUUUCUUUUUCUUUUAAGUUUUGAAUGACCGAAUUCAUAUUUUCUAGUUGACAUAUUAAAAUCUAACAAAUAUUUUAAACACUAUAACAAAAGCAAAUAAAAAAUAUAAUAAACAUAAGACACAAAACAAAAAUAAUAUUAGAAAUUAAAAUGAUAUUACCGGAUUCAAGAACUAUGAAGACUUGAUUUCCGAAAAUGAAUUGGGCUAUUGCAAUAUAUAUUUUUCUCCAAAUUUAAAAUAUAAACUAUCAAUAGAAUAAGUAAAUUCUUAAGCUUUGAAUAAGAGAGAGAUAUAAGAUUAGAAAAGAGAAAGAGAAAAGAAAUAGAAGAGAAGAAGAGAGGAGAUAGAAUAAAAUAAAAUUAGAAAAAGAAUAAGGUAAAAAAUAAAUAUAACUUGUACAUUAAAAAAAAAGUAGACAACUUUUUAUUGGAAAGGGAAAAAGUAAUUGUCAUAUUUAUCACUUUAUUAAUGCCGUUUGCAUUUGUUGUCUUAGUUCUAAUUUUUUUUUUUAGUUUAAUCCUACCUAAUUAACUAAAAAUGGGGGCCCCAAUUUAUUGAGGGCCUAAGGCUAAGGACUUUAUUUUAUACCUUACCAGCCGCCCCUGUUAAUUGACUUGAGAUCUAAGAGUUCUUGCUAUUUUCAAAAAGUAUUUGUGUUUUCUUUCUACAAUUUCAUUUUCUUGUGGAGUGUGUCACACAUGUGCUUUGGUGAAUGAUAUCUAAACAAGAACGACGGUUAUUAAGAAUUCAUAUUCAUUGUCUGAUUUCAAGGUUUUAAUAGUGAUGGAGAAUUGAUUUUCAAUAAGGAGAAGAAAAUCUUUUAAUACAACAUAUACAUCACUCUUAAGUCCCAACAACAAAGUCUAAGUCAUACUAAAAGAUUCAUCAAAAAGAGUGGAAAGUAUCUGAAUCCAUUAUAAGUGAUGACCAUUUAAAAGCCGAAACAUAUACAAAGACAAGAUCAAACAUAGUAGUAUAUUUGAAAGUACUAACAAAAAAUGGUAGCUAGUCUCAUUGCUAAUGGAAAAAUAUGACAAUUAAGAUGAAAAGUAUUAGACAAUAGAUUAGUUUUUACAGAAAUCUUAAGCAACACAGAUAUGUGAGUAUGUCCUUGUCUUUAAUGUCAUUAAUGUGAUUGUGGUGUGAAAACUUUACUAGACAUGCACUUGGAAGAAGAAAUAGCACAUGUGUUGAAGGAUUGAGGAUGUACAGGUCACCCUUAUAUUUUUAUUAAUACCCUUUAUUUUGCCACUGAAAAGGUCUUGAAACAUGCAAAAACUUUAUAAAAGAGUAUUGAGCUAGCUACUAGGUUACCAUGCUGAACUUAGCUUAUUCAAGCUUGAGAAGAAAUAUUGUAUGUAUUGAAUUCUUCAGAUUGAAAAAUGAGUACAAAAGAUCUUCUCUAACUGACCAUGUCUACAAUUUACUAUCCAUGUGUCAUUCUCUAAUUGGUUGACUAAAUAACUAACUACUAACUAAUCAUGUACUGUUAAAUUAGGUCUUAUGCCUAACUCACACUCCAAAAGCUAGCUCAAAGGGAGGAGAAUUGUUCAAACCUUAUAAGGAAUCUACCCAUCUCAUUAACCACCAAUGUGGACUUUUUGCUUUAAUACCCCACCUCAUGCCCAUUGCUUAGCAUCUGGUGCGUUGGCAAUUUUGGAUAGUUUUUUGACCCACCUCACGCCCAGUGCUUAGUAUCUGGUGUGUGGACAUUUUUUGGGCAAUUUUUGAUUUUUUUUUGGCCCCCAACAUCGGAUGAGAUGGGUCCUGCUCUGAUACCACGUGAAAUUAGGUCUUGAACCUAACUCAUACCCCAAAAGCUAGCUCAAAGGGAGGAGGAUUGUUCAAGCCUUAUAAGGAGUCCAUCUAUCUCACUAACCACCAAUGUGGGACUUUUGUCAUUCUUUAACAUGUACAAAUGUUCACCAACUACUUUACUAGUUUUCCAUCAAGAUCUACAACCUUAAUUUGGAAGUAGAUAUAUACAAACUACACAACCAUCAAGUGUGAGGAAUCCAAUUUUGUGACAUACUUUCAGGAAAGGAAAUUCUCUAGUUAAAGAAGGAAUGAAAUAAACCAUGUCAAUUUCAAUAUUUUUGUAUCAAUAUGUAAUGAUAAUUAUAAUUAAUUAAGAGAUCUGACCUCCAUGUGUUGUUCCACUUCAAAAGUGUUAAUGUUGAUCAACGUUUCUUUUGUAUAUUGACAAUAUCUGUCAAUUGUCUUUUGCAUGCUGAAUUAUUCCAAGAAGAUAAAGUAAUUAUUAAGACUUCUGUAAGGUAAAACACGUCCCAAACAUGAAAGAUGUAUUGAACUAGGUAGCAGGUGUAAUUAAUGGAUGUUAUAUAUAUUAGAUAAUUAAAAUUAUUUAUUUUUCUAUACAUUCCAUGUUUAUGGGGAGAAAUAAUGUAUGCCAUGUAGUUCCUCUUUUGAGAAUUUAGCUCAUAUUUGUGUUUAAACACUUUUUAUAUAUUAUUGUACACUUUUAUACAAGAUUACAAUAUUAUGUAUAAUACUUUCUCAAGUAUGAUAUUGUAUAAUGUCUAUAAUAUUAUAGGGAUAAGGUAUAAGUACCCCUAGACUAUGACUGAAAUCGCUGAGACACACCUUAACUAAACUUAUAAGGUCCUAUUACCCCACUGAACCAAUUUGUUUUGUAAUUUUGUAGACCUUUUUGGCUUACGUGGAGUCAUGGAGUGUGCCACGUAAGCCAAAAGGUGUACAAAAUUACAAAAAAAAAUGAGUUCAAGGGAUAAUAGAACCUUAGUUUAGUUAAGAUGUGUCUCUGUGAUUUCGAUCAUAGUCUAAGAGGUACUUGUGUCUUAUCCCUAAUAUUAUAUAUUGGGUCAUGUGACUUAAUUUUAUGUUGUCCGUAUAUUUUGAAAAACUCCCAAAAUUUAUUUUUAUUUAAAAGUUUAAAAAUACAAGAUCCAAAUAAAAUUUGAUACAAAUUUAAUAUUAUUUCAACAAAAAAAUAAAAUUAAAUAGUGAUAUAUCAUGGUUUGUUUUAUCGGUGAUAUAUCAUGGUCUGUGGAUAGAGCUUAGUGGUGAUGGUAGUCUAUAGUAAUGAUUAAUGGCGGUUAUUGGUGGCGGCACCUGGUAAUUCUAAUAGAUAUUAGAGAUACCUAAUAGUGGUAUAAUAAAUACUUAUCCGUGUUUUUAUGAAUAAAACUUGAGACUUUUGAGCCUUGUUUUCAUUAAAAAUAGAUAUUACUUGUGGUUAGGGGUGACAAAAUGGGUAAUUAAUAUGGGUAUUCGUUCAUAUUUAUCCAUUUUAAAUGGGUUGAGUAUUCAACUCAUUUAAAAAUGGGUAAAAUUGAAUAAUGCCCAUAUUAUCCAUUUAAAAGUGGAUAGUUAAAUGGAUAAAAUAGGUAAAAGAUAUGCAUUCACACGAAUAAAAAAAAAAGUGAUAAAGGGUGGGGUAGUAAGAAAGUCUUUUUUUUUUUUUUAAAUGAAACUUUUUUUUACAUUUUUUUGGGAUAGGGGGGUGGGGGGCAAUUAAAGAAAUUUUAAUGAAAAAAUUUAAAAUUUUGUUAAUUUGUUUUUUGGAUGGGGUGUGGAGGGGGGGCUGGUAGGGGGUGGGGUGGUAAUUUUUUUUUUUUUUUUGGGAUUGGGGGCUAGGGGGGCUCGUAGGGGGUGGAGUGAAGGUAUAAAAAAAACUUAAAUUUUUUUUUGUUUUUAAAGCUUUUAACAAGAUUUCUAUUAUAAUAUGGGUAAAUAUGGUUACUCAUAUUAUCCAUUGGGUAACUCGUUUUUACCCAUUUAAAAUCUGAGUCGAGUCGAAUAACUUAUCCAUUUUUAUUUAACUUGUUUUUUGAUCGACUCAACUCGCUCGUUUGCCACUCCUACUUGUGGUGAAUGAUGACAAGCUUGAUGAUAUAUAGCGUUUUUUUUUGUAGUAAUAAGUGAUUGUAAUGAUAGUUAAUAGUGAUUAUUGUAAAUGGUGAUAAUGAUAUGUGGUGAUUAGCGGUGGUAUGCUCUGAUUGAAAAUGGUGGUUGCUAGUUCAUAAUGGUGGGUGACAACAAUGAUUAGAUUAAUUAGCUGCGAAAGUUGAUGGAGUAGUGAUAGAAAUUUAAAAAUAGAUAGCUUAAUGAUAUUAAGACUUUGUCAUAGUUCUUAAUCAUCCAAAUCUAUUCAAACCCAUUACUAGGUAUAAAAUAAGAAAAUAAAUACACUUAUGGGUUGUUUUGUACAAAGAUUAAUACGACAGGAAUUAGUAAUGAAGGGUUUAUUAUCAACUGUUUGGUUCAUUCCUUCCCACCUCAUCUUGUGUUUGGAUUGAAACUUUAUAAAAAACUUCUUUUCAAUUAUACCCUUAGGGGUCGUUUGGUUUGAAAAUGAGUUAUGAUGGGAUAAGUUAUGUUGGAUAAGUUAUGAUGGGAUAAGUUGUGUUGGGAUUAUUUUUUAUUGAGUGUUUGGUUUGUUGUAUUCAAAAUAAUAAAUUUUAAGAACAAUUUAUUUAUUUACAAAAAUGCCCUUCAUUAAUGUAAAAAGUGAUAUAACAAAAGAGUUGAAAGAGACAUUUUUGUCAUUUACCUAUUUUAUCCCGGGAUAAGUUAUACCGGGAUUACUAUACCAUCCAAGGAGAGGGAUAACUUAUCCCGGUACUAAUUAUUAAUCCCGGGAUAAGUUAUCCCGAACUUGCCAACCAAACAACAAAAUAAGCGGUACUAUAAUUUAAUUCCGGGACUAUUUGUAUUAUCCCUCACACCAAACGACCCCUUAAAUUAUUAUGUAAUUGAGUCAAGGUAGAUAAUUGCAGGACAAUAUUUUUUUUUAUGGUCUUCUAACUAGCUUUGAGAAGAACAAUUUUAUUGUCAAGUUAGCUAUUUUCUCACUUGAAUUAUUUGAGGAUAAAUAAUUGUCAUCUUAAUAAAGUGAUCACUUACAAAACGUCAAUUUUCAAUUAAAAAAGAUAGAUCAUCUACUUUUAAAAUUGAAAAGACAAUAAACAAUAGUAAAAUCUUAUAAAUCAUCUACAUUUAUACAGAAAAAAUUUCAAGUUGUACAAGUAGACACUUAAACUUGUAUAUAAAAUUAUACAAAUAGACACACACAUCCUACAUGGCAUCAUACGUGGCAAUUUGCAUCCUACGUGGUGUCAUACGUGUUUUAUGCCACGUAGAACUCAUGUGUCUACUUAUUCAACUUUAUACACAUUUGAGUGUCUACUUGUGCAGAACCAAAGUUGAAGGGCAUUGAAAUAUAAAAUGAGGCAAUAUAUAUAAAGGGCCUCUUGAUUAUUAAACACAAGUUUCAUCUAAUUGAUAUGUCCAAAUUUUAAAUUUUCUACCAACUAUUUGAUCCAAAAUAUCUCACAAAUUACCUUUUAAUAAAACACAAAAUUCAGAUGUAGAACAUCUGUCAGAAAUGAUUAUGCCAAUCAACAUCGGUAUAUCCAAAGAUCUACUUAUAGCUUCAAUCCUCGAAAAGUAGUCAUUUGGUCAAUGACUUAUAUCAUAGAAUGCGGACAACAACAUCCCAAUGACUAUCACAAGUAGAAUAGAUAAACUAACACACGACACUCAGGAGGAGAAAUGGCAUGUCUAGUCACAAUGAGAUAAUUCGAUUUACCAACAAGUUUCAUAUAUCUUCAAGGAUUAUUAAGGGACACCUUUUGUUUUCUUUCUGGCAAAUUUCGCAUUUACAUAAAAGAUUUAGACGCAACCAAUUGUGACUUAAGGAAAUUGUGAAUCCGGUAUUUCAUGAAAGGAGCAAGUAUAUGGAUAUAUACUUUCAUUAUAUUAGAGGUUGCAUAUCCAAGAAAUCAGUUCAUGGAAUCUCAAUACCAAGUUGUGUAUAUUUUCAUUAAGUCAUUGAAGAUUAAUAUUUUUUGAAGCUAAAGAUGACUCUUGUAGAGAUGAAUCAAAUUUAAUGGGGAUGUUGAAUAAUUAAAUUUUGUUCAUGCAUAGUUCAUUAAGGCAGUAUAUAUAAUAUAUAAACAUGACCCUUAAUUUAACGUUAGUUGACAACUAUGACCUUUAAUUUUAGGUGCAUGUGCACAAAUAGACACUUAAACUUGUAUAAAAUUGAACAAAUAGACACAUUCGUCCUACAUGACAUCCUACAUGACAAUUUUUGUGUCCUAUGUAGCGUCCUACGUGUGUUAUGUCAUGUAGGACACAUUUGUCUACUUGUUCAAUUUUAUACAAGUUUAAAUAUCUACUUGUGUAUAAUCAAAGUUGGAGGGCGUUGUCCGCUGAAGCCAAAUUAAAGGUCAUGUUUAUGUAUAAUACCGUUCAUUAAAAAGUAUAUAUUUAAGAGUUGCAUGUAUUGGUGGUUGGUCUUAUUCAUAUUCUUACGAAAAUGAGAAGUAUAAAAUUAAAUUGAUAUGCAAGUAUCAUAGAAAAAAUAUAUGAAGUAGUUCACCUAUAAUUCAACUCAAAGGGAUAAGGUAAUUAUAAUUUGAGGAAAUAGUGACAGUGAUAGAACUUUGAAAGAUGGGCUGGCAUGUACAAGUAAUAAUGAAUACUAGAAGUACCUUGUUGUUCUAUUCUUUUAAAUCAACCAAAUUAAAGCAAGCAAGAAAGGAUACCUAGGACCCUCCACACUUCCAGCCCUCAUCACCAAUACAACUUUACCGUAGAUGGAAAAGGAAUGUGCUACAUGUGGUAUGUUUACAUGUUAUGUUACGAGAAAAAAAUGAAUUUUGAUCCUAACUCAAUUACGAAAGUCAUUUUCUCGGCUCUAAAUAUUUUGAGUAUAUAUAUAGAUGGUGUACAUACGUGGCUUUCAUGAUAUCAUAUAAAAGUUGUGGAUGACUAGAAUAGAGACAAUAAUUGAUUGCUUCAACCAAUAUGGGACAAUCUAGCAAACUGAACCUACAUAAAAUAGUACAAAGAGCCCAUGUAAUAUUGUUGAAUCUGCUCUUAGGUGUAGCCUGUAAGCCAUAAUUACCCACAGCCUAAAAUUCUCAUAUUCUUGUCCAAAACCUUAUGUUGAGGGGGGUACAUAUCCUUUUCCUAAAUAAAAUAGAGUAGUGGUAUUGGAAAUUGAAUGUGUGUUUUUCUAAGGAUUAAGAAGGAAUAAAACUUCUAAAAAUGUAUUUUUCAAAGAAAGAUGCAAUUGUUAAGACUCAACAAGGAGAGAUAGAAUAGCCAGGUCUCGGGUUUGUUAGGAAGCGCUUUAUCCCUAAAAUGAAAUUUUUGGAUGCAAAUUUAAAUUUAGUUGGGCUUCAAUGUAGGUAUCGAACAUUGAAUGAAAACCAAAAAAAAAAAGGGGAGAGUUAUGGAAACUCUAUUUUCUUGUUGACUUUCAGGUUCUAGGUUAAUCCUUCCGCAUGUUGUUUAGUUAUUGUUGAACUUUUGUUAGAGUUAAUGGAAACUCUGUUUUCUUUCCUUAGUGUUUGACUUAUAUGCCUUAGUUUUUAGAUUGAUUGCUUGGUUUGGGUUGUAGUAGUGGUUCUCCUACUGGAUUGUUAGUGUGGGUGCCAAUCACGACGGUCUGGGUCGUGACAUAUAUAUAUAUAUUUGUGUGGUUUUCUAAUUAUUUGAAUUUUGAACAAUUUAUAAAAUUGCAUACAUACUAAAAUUACAACUUGCAAUAUUUAUGUGUUAAUGUAGAUGGUUUAUUCAAUUGUACUAUUGUUUACUGUCUUUUCAAUUUUAAAAGUUGAUAGUUUAUCUUCUUUUUUUUUUGAAAAUUGAAAUUUGACAUUUUGUAAGUGAUCAAUUUACUAAGAUGACAAUUAUUUAUCCUCAAAUAAUUUAAGUGGAAAAAAAGGCAAACAUGACAACAAAAUUGUUCUUCUCAUAGCUAGUUAGAAGGCUAUAAAAAACAAUAUUGUCCGACAAUUAUUUACCUUAACCCAAUUACAUAAUAAUUCAAGGGUAUAAUUGGAAAGAAGUUUUCUAUAACGUUUUAAUCCAAACACAAGAUGAGGUGGGAAACAAUGAACCAAACACUUGGUAAAAAUAAACUAUGCAUUACUAAUCCCUGCACUAUUAAUCUCUGCAUUAUUAAUCUCAGCAUUACUAAUCCCUGUAUUAUUAAUCAUUGUACCAAACAACCCCUAUAUGCAUUAAUAUUCUAACAUUUCCCUUCAAGUUGGUACAUAUAAGUCAUCUAUACCUUGUUUGUUAUAAAUAUAACUAAAAAAAAUAGAAUUGAUGAGGGACUUGGUGAAAAUAUUUGCAAAUUAAUUAUUGAAUUUUAUAAAUUUUGUAAUAAUAUCUCCUAAGAGUAUAUUUCCUUUAAUAAAGUAGCAAUUGAUCUUAAUGUGUUUUUCCUGUCAUGAAAAUAAUGGAUCUGAGGCAAUAUAAAGGGCCUCUUGAUUAUUAAACACAAGUUUCAUCUAAUUGAUAUGUCCAAAUUUUAAAUUUUCUACCAACUAUUUGAUCCAAAAUAUCUCACAAAUUAUCUUUUAAUAAAACACAAAAUUCAGAUGUAGAACAUCUGUCAGAAAUGAUUAUGCCAAUCAACAUCGAUAUAUCCAAAGAUCUACUUAUAGCUUCAAUCCUCGAAAAGUAGCCAUUUGCUCAAUGACUUAAUAUAUCAUAGAAUGCGGACAACAACAUCUCAAUGACUAUCAUAAGUAGAAUAGAUAAACUAACACACAACACUCAGGAAAAGAAAUGUCAUGUCUAGUUACAAUGAGAUAAUUCGAUUUAUCAACAAGUUUCAUAUAUCUUCAAGGAUUAUUGAGGGGCUCCUUUUGUUUUCGUUCUUGCAAAUUUCGCAUUUACAUAAAAAAAUUAGAAGCAACCAAUUAUGACUUUGGGAAAUUGUGAAUCGAAGUAUAUAUAUAGGAGCUGAAACAUGGGAAAAGGAGUUUGUUUGAAGAAUUUUAUAAACCACAAGAACCCGGUAUUUCAUGAAAGGAGCAAGUAUAUGGAUAUAUACUAAGUUCAUUAUAUUAGAGGUUGCAUAUCCAAGAAAGAUGACUCUUGUAGAGAUGAAUCAAAUUUAUUAGGGAUGUUGAAUAAUUAAAUUUUGUUCAUGCAUAGUUCAUUAAGGCAGUAUAAUACAUAAACAUGACCCUUAAUUUAACGUCACUUGACAACUAUGAUCUUUAAUUUUAGGUGCAUGUGCACAAGUAGACACUUAAAUUUGUAUAAAAUUGAACAAAUAGACACAUUCGUCCUACAUGACACCCUACAUGGAAAUUUUGUGUCUUAUGUAGCGCCCUACGUAUAUUAUGUCAGGUAGGAUACGUGUGUCUACUUGUUCAAUUCUAUACAAGUUUAAGUAUCUACGUGUGUACAAUCAAAGUUGGAGGGCGUUGUCCGCUGAAGCCAAAUUAAGGGUCAUGUAUAUGUAUUAUACCGUUCAUUAAAAAGUAUAUAUUUAAGAGUUGCAUGUAUUGGUGUUUGGUCUUAUUCAUAUCCUUACAAAAAUGAGAAGUCUAAAAUUAAAUUGAUACACAAGUAUCAUUGUAACACCCCGUAUUCGAAACAAACCAAAAAUGCAGAUUUUGAGAAGUUGCAGGUGCAACCCACGGUUGCCAUCCACGGACCGUAGGUCAGACCACGGCCCGUGCUGGUGGUCCGUGGUUCACCACUGCAACCCCUCCCCAGCCAAGCUCAGAAAUAUCGGCUAAGUCCCGACUCACGGACAGACCCACGGUCCGUGGUCUGUGUCCAUGGAUCGAGACUUCCCUUACCCAGCCUCUGACACAAACUACGGUCGACCAUCACGGACUGUCAUUCGAUCCACGGUCCAUAGGUCUGACCGUAGAUGAGGGUUAGCAGCCAGUUAGCUGAAAAUUAUUGAUGGGUCAACUUCAGAUGGUCAUAACUUUUAGCACAAAAGGAAUUGUGUGUCCCAUGACAUAUGGUAUGAUAGAUAAUUGAAUUAUCUUUCCAACGCCACCGAGUUUUCUUAAUUCCGACCUCCGAGUAAAAAGUUAUGCUCGUUUUAGUGAAGNNNNNNNNNNNNNNNNNNNNNNNNNNNNNNNNNNNNNNNNNNNNNNNNNNNNNNNNNNNNNNNNNNNNNNNNNNNNNNNNNNNNNNNNNNNNNNNNNNNNNNNNNNNNNNNNNNNNNNNNNNNNNNNNNNNNNNNNNNNNNNNNNNNNNNNNNNNNNNNNNNNNNNNNNNNNNNNNNNNNNNNNNNNNNNNNNNNNNNNNNNNNNNNNNNNNNNNNNNNNNNNNNNNNNNNNNNNNNNNNNNNNNNNNNNNNNNNNNNNNNNNNNNNNNNNNNNNNNNNNNNNNNNNNNNNNNNNNNNNNNNNNNNNNNNNNNNNNNNNNNNNNNNNNNNNNNNNNNNNNNNNNNNNNNNNNNNNNNNNNNNNNNNNNNNNNNNNNNNNNNNNNNNNNNNNNNNNNNNNNNNNNNNNNNNNNNNNNNNNNNNNNNNNNNNNNNNNNNNNNNNNNNNNNNNNNNNNNNNNNNNNNNNNNNNNNNNNNNNNNNNNNNNNNNNNNNNNNNNNNNNNNNNNNNNNNNNNNNNNNNNNNNNNNNNNNNNNNNNNNNNNNNNNNNNNNNNNNNNNNNNNNNNNNNNNNNNNNNNNNNNNNNNNNNNNNNNNNNNNNNNNNNNNNNNNNNNNNNNNNNNNNNNNNNNNNNNNNNNNNNNNNNNNNNNNNNNNNNNNNNNNNNNNNNNNNNNNNNNNNNNNNNNNNNNNNNNNNNNNNNNNNNNNNNNNNNNNNNNNNNNNNNNNNNNNNNNNNNNNNNNNNNNNNNNNNNNNNNNNNNNNNNNNNNNNNNNNNNNNNNNNNNNNNNNNNNNNNNNNNNNNNNNNNNNNNNNNNNNNNNNNNNNNNNNNNNNNNNNNNNNNNNNNNNNNNNNNNNNNNNNNNNNNNNNNNNNNNNNNNNNNNNNNNNNNNNNNNNNNNNNNNNNNNNNNNNNNNNNNNNNNNNNNNNNNNNNNNNNNNNNNNNNNNNNNNNNCCGAUCUUCAGUUCAGCAGCAUCAGUGGUGAGUCCUCAUUCUUCGAGGACUAGUGACAUGUUUAUCUAGAUUUCUUUUAGUCUUUAGUUUCAGUUUUGCUAGAUCUAGUUGGGGCAUGUCCCAACAUUUCUAGUCAGUUUAGAGGCUUAUUUCAGACAUAGUUAGAUUCAGCUUAGUGUUGAGUUAAUAUCUUCUUUGUAUUAAACUCAUCAGUUUUCAUAUAUCUCAGUUAUAGUAUAUGGGUAUUCCCCAUCUUUUAGAUUUAUUUGUGAUUUAGCUUCCGCACAGUUUCUAUUAUUCAGAUUAUAUUUAGUAUGCUCAUGAUCAUGCCAGCAGGGUUAGCUUGGGAUCACUUGUGGUCCUAGGUCCUGUGUCCGCGUCUCGGGGGUAGUUCGGGGCGUGACAAUCAUAGACAAAAUAUAUGAAGUAGUUCACCUAUAAUUCAACUCAAAGGGAUAAGGUAAUUAUAAUUUGAGGAAAUAGUGACAGUGAUAGAACUUUGAAAGAUGGGCUGGCAUGUACAAGUAAUAAUGAAUACUAGAAGUACCUUGUUGUUCUAUUCUUUUAAAUCAACCAAAUUAAAGCAAGCAAGAAAGGAUACCUAGGACCCCUCCACACUUCCAGCCCUCAUCACCAAAGCAACUUUACCGUAGAUGGAAAAAGAAUGUGCUACAUGUGGUAUGUUUACAUGUUAUGUUACGAGAAAAAAAUGAAUUUUGAUCCUAACUCAAUUACGAAAGUCAUUUUCUCGGCUCUAAAUAUUUUGAGUAUAUAUAUAGAUGGUGUACAUACGUGGCUUUCAUGAUAUCAUAUUAAAAGUUGUGGAUGACUUGAAAAGAGACAAUAAUUGAUUGCUUCAACCAAUAUGGGACAAUCUAGCAAACUGAAACUACAUAAAAUAGUACAAAGAGCCCAUGUGAUAUUGUUGCAUCUGCUGUAAGGUGUAGCCUGUAAGCCAUAAUUACCCACAGCCUAAAAUUCUCAUAUCCUUGUCCAAAUCCUUAUAUUGAGGGGGGUACAUCUCCGUUUUUUCUAAAUUAAAAAUAGAGUAGUGGUAUUGGAAAUUGAAUGUGUUUUGCUAGGGAUUAAGAAGGAAAAUAACCUUUAAAAAUGUAUUUUUCAAAGAAAGAUGCAAUUGUUAAGACUCAACAAGGGGAUAUAGAAUAACCAGGUCUCGGGUUUGUUAGGAAGCAUUUUAUCCCCAAUAUGAAAUUUUUGAACGUGAAUCUAAAUUUAGUUGGACUUCAAUGGGUACCGAACAUUGAAUGAAAACAAAAAAAAAGGGAGAGGUAGAACAGUGAGCAAAUUUUGAAAAGCAAAUCGUUCGUACUUUGAAAAAUUAGAAAGUACACAAAGCCCAUGCUUCCUUACUUUAUCAAACAAACAUCGGAAUUACAAUUCUAGAUCAGGAAACUUAACUUAAAUCAUUUGGUGCAAAGGAUAAGUAUGAUAGUUCUGCAAUAAAAUGCAAGAUUACUUUAUUUUGAGUUUGCUUAGGGUAAGUAAUUAUUUAUCUCAUAUAUUUGAUAGGAUAACUUUGUUUAGUUCAUAAGCUUUCUGAAAUUGUUUGUUUAGUUGUUGAAAAGGAAAUCCUAGUUAUGAGAAAUUUAUUCACUCAGAUUUGUGAAAAUUGUUAGUAGGUAGUUAAUUAAUUACCUGGAACUUGAGAAUUGAAAAAGUCUUCCCUUUUGUGAGAAAAUAAUAAGAGCAACUUGAGCAUCACAAAGAACUGAUAGUUCAUAAGCUUUCUUCAUAACUCCAUUUCUUCGUUUAGAGAAAGUCACUUGCCGGCUUGUUGCAUUCUCAAUCCUCUUCAUCUCUACCUUUCCUCGAACCAUUUCCUGCACACAACAACAUAGAAAGAAUCAAAAAAAUUAAUCCUAUCAAAGAGUAUUUACAAUCUUGAAUCUUUCAGCUCACCUUCAAUACUAAUGAAAUCAAUUAAAAAUGUUCAAAAAAACCCUAGCAAGUGAUGUAUUCCGUUGGGAAAGAAUGAAAUGAAAGCAUAAAAAGGUAAGCCAAAAGUAAAAAGGAAUAAGUAGUAAAGAUCGUCGAUGUAUUCAUCUCUUUAUUCUGAGACCAAAGAAUACGAUAUUUCCUAAUUCUAUCGUAUUUGUAUUCCGUUUGUUCCUUUUCUAUCAACAACAAAAAAGGAAAAGCACAAAAAAAGUAGCAUAAGAAAGUCUUGUCCAAGCAAAACCUCAUUGUUACCUUGUUUUGGUAAUCGAUCUUGAAAUAGACGUUAAUCAUACACAAACAAUAAUACUCACCCAUAAAUGGGAUUAUACAACAUUUUAUAACACUCCAUUUAAGUGUACCAAAACUAGAAACAAAAAAUUACCCCACCGUACCGGUGGGAAAUUUGUGUAGUAAAAUAUAAUUUUUCCAUUCACUUCUUAUUGAAUUAACUUACUGAAAAAAUACAUGAUAAGAAACAAAUUUUCACUUUAAAGAUGAAAAUUUUUGUAAUUUUUUCAUAUGAAACAAUUGCUAUAAUUAUUUUCUUUUCACACUGUUUUAAUCAAAAUAUCGAAAAUAGACACUCAACUUUUUUAUUGGUAAAAACGUGUUUUCUGAGUAGUAGUGUACCAUUAUUUGAUUGGAUAUAUAUGGAAACAAAUCUUAAUUAGAAUACAUUUUCAUGUGUAAUUAUAAAUUAUUUCAUUUAGAAAAAGUGAAAAUUUUGAAACUAAAUUAUUUAUAAAUGAAAAAAAAACAAAGUAAUGAUACAAUGUCACUUAAAUUUUUUAAAUGAUACAAAUUUUUUAAACAUCAUAUCAAGUUAAAUGAUACAAUGUCACGUAAAAUAAAAUAGAGUAUCAGAUAAUUUUUAAAAAAAUUAAUGUAAGUACACAACAACAUAAGCUUUUUUUUGUUAUUAAAAAUAUAAUUAAAUUUUAAAAAAUCCAACAGCUUAAAAUUCUAAAUUAGAUGACUGGAUAUAUCUCACUAUGUUAUUAGAACAAGCUUGAAUUUGGAUUUGAGUCUCACUAACACUUUACAUAAAAUAAAAAUGCAUAUACUUAACUCAAUCAAUUUUUCUACCCUUUCUAACUCUUUAAAAAGGAAUGUCAACUACAACUAAAGGGUUAAAGGUAUAAUCUAUAUAUAAAAUAAAGGAAAAACAUAGAUAAAGUGAUGUGAUACCUCUCUAUGACCUUCAUUUAUAUUUAUCGUUUUUCUCUUUUUUGGCAUUUUUUCUUAUUUAAAUUAAUUAUUAUAUUGUUAAAGUAAAUUACUUAAUUUAUUACAAAUAAAAUUUUAUUAAUCGAGGAACAUUUACAACAAAAACUCUUCAUAUUCUUUUUUUAUUUGUUUGCCUCACUUCUAUCCAUAAAAUGACAAUAUUAUUUUAUAUUUUAAGUAUUUUUCUCAUUAUUAUUUAAUUUAUUCACAAGGAGUUAUAUGACUUACACCUCUUUAAUUUUUACUUUAAUAAUAUUCAUAACUCACAUAAUUUUUAUGUCCAUAACCUCCAAACUUAAAUUUGUAAGUUUAUAAUGUCUUAUUUUAUUCAUUUAUUUUGCCUAUAAAUUCAUAUAUAGUUUAUGAAGAUUCGCAUUUAAGAUUAUCAUUUCUCUUCAUCAUAUUGAUUUGUGAAUGAACUAACAAGUAACAAAAAAGAAGUACAUGAAGGUAAGAAAUAUUUCAUUUCAUUCUCCAGUCUUUAUUUUUUAAUUUCCUCUAUUUUACUUGUAUAAAUUCAUAUUUAAUUAGUUUCAUAUCACAGUCAAGAUUAUCAUUUCUCUUCUUCAUUAUAUUUUUUUGUGAAUUAACUAACAUGUAACAAAAAAGAUAUAUAUUUCAUUCUUAACUAACUAACAUGAAGGUAAGAUAUAUAUUUCAUUCUCAAGUCUUUCUUUUUAUUUUUAUUUACUUGGACAUGCUUUCUUAAUUUUUAAUUUAUGUAUGCAUUAUCAUUCACCAAGCAAGUAUGAUAAAAAAAAACCUUAAUAAUGAAUAAUAUGUUGGCAGUAUGUAAUUGUUCUCUCUAAUAGUCACUUUUCGGAAUAUAAUGUAUUUUGAUUAUAAUAUUUGUUAGAUUUCAAGAGAUAAUUAUUAUUUAGUAUUGUUAGUACUAUUGAAAAAUCAAUAUACAGAUAUAUUACAUAUAGUUUAAAUUUCUUCUUUCUUUUGAUAUAAUUAAUUCUUAAUUGAUAUAUGAUAUUUUAUUAAUUCAUAUAUUUUUUUAUUCAAUUGGUAACAUAUGAUGAAGAGUUUGACAUAUGGAACCAAAUAUGGUGGUGGAUCUACAUGCAAAGGAAGAUGGUAGAAGGAGAAAAAAGAAGCAUAAUUAGAGAUUAUUUUUGCUAGAUUUUUUUUACUUUGACUUGUAUUAGUUACUUAGCUUCUUUUACUAAAAAAAUUUAAAUUUUGAUUUAUAUAAAUAAUAUAGCUACAUGUAUUGUCAAUGCUUAUCAUUUGGUCCUUUAGUAUUUUACUUUUUUUUUACUGUUAUUAUGAAGUACAAUUAAUAUAAUUAUCUCAUUUCAACAACAAAAAAUUAUGAUGAUUAGGAGUUUCAUUUUUAUUAUUCUUGCAAAAAGUAAUUGAAAAAUAAAAUAUUAAUUUCAUGAUACCAUUUUUUGUGUAUGUAACAAUCUAUUUUCGCCGCUAUUCUUUUUUUCCUGAAAUGUAUUUAUAAUAUUUAUGCAAUCACCGAUUAUUAUAUCUUUUUGUUCAUUUUUUGUAUUUUCACUCCUUAUUUUCAUUUAUUUAUUUUACAAAUAAAAUCAAUGUAUAAUUAUUAAUGCAUUUAAUGUCUAAUAAAAUUGUACAUUUGAAUUAUUUAUAUCUCAUAUCUCUUCAUCUUACUUGUAAAUUCUAAUUUUAAAUAUUAUUCAUAACCUUUGUAUAUUUCAUUUUCAUAAUUCUUAUAAAUAUUCAAUUUAAUUAGUGUUUAAAAAUUAUAAUAAACAAAUGUAAUAAUAAUGACACAAUUAAAAAAAAUCAUUUUUUUUACGAAUCAGAAUUUGUAUAGGAAAUUAGUAUACUCCUACAAAAGAUAGAGGAAAUUAAAACAUAUAAAAUAUUUUCAAUAUAAUACAAUAUAUUGUUAUUUUAAAAUAUUAUAUAUUAUUUCAUUUACUUCACCACGGUGAGAUAUUUUGUGCUACUAUAUAUAUAUAUAUAUAUAUAUAUAUGAACAAGUUGCACUUAAAAAGAUGCAACAAAAAAAAAAAAAAUUAUAUGUUUAAAAAAAUGAAAAAAAUGUAUCAUGUCACAGAUGAAGAACAAUAUCAAUAUUAAUUAUUCUAUAUAUUUUAUAAUAAUUUAAAUAUAAAUAUUACAUAUAAUUAUCUUAUAAAUAUCUCAUAUGACCGUGCGAAGCGUAAAUAAUUUCAGCAGUUUAAUAAUAACACAAUAAAAACGAAAAGAACGUUAGUAUAAUUGUAGUGUAGCCAAUUAAAGAGUGUAUAUAGCGUGGGGUUUAAAAGUGAUAUAUUUGUAGGGUGGGGAAAUAACACCAUCGUACCAUGAUUUGACUUUUGACGAAUCACAGAGUGACAUCUCAUCAUAAUUAUUUAUUAUAUAAAAUAUUUGAGACUUUAGGCCAAUAGGAAUAAAGUCAGUCACGUGGCUCAAACACCAUUUGCCGUGACUAUUCAAUUUUGAUGCUAAGAUAGACUACUAGUACUCUUUACUGACUACUGUGCUACGCUCCGUUAAAUUUGAGUGGUUUAAAAUAAAUUAAGAUAAGAAAUGGGCUGAGAUUUAAUUUCACCAAAAAUACAUGUAGAUAGGAUUGUCAAAAAUAAUGGUUUAGAGUCAACUUUAUUGAGAGGUUUUAAUUAUUUUUUAAUCGAUAUAUACAAACAAAUAACAACAUAUUUAGGGCCUGUUUGGAAAGUUAUUCUUGUGAUAGAAUUUGGUGUAAUUACAUUAUUUGUCUUGUUUGAUUGACCAUGUAAUUAUAUGGCCAGCAUGUAAUUGAGUGUAAUUGACAGGGGAUAAUUACACUCUCCAAUUUAUAGGGAGAAUUUGUGAUGGUGUAAGUACAAGCGGAUUAUUUUUUAGGUUUUUUUUGUUAUUUAUAUAUUUAAUUUUUAAUUUUUUUCGUUUUAAUGUAUUUUUUUAUUAUUAUUUGAAACUAUUUUUAAAUUUUUAUUAUCCUAAUGUUUUCUAAUUUUUUUAUUUUUUUAUAUUAUUUAUAUUUCAUUUCCUUCUCAUUCUCAACAUUUACUUCAUGUGAUUCCAUGAAAUUUUUCGUAUAAUCUAAAAAAAAAUAUUAGUAUAAUUUUGUUAGUAUUCUAAUUUUUAAAUUAAACUAGAAUUUAUUAUUGAAUAAAGUUGUGGGCUUAAGUGACAUAAUACAUAAACAUGAUCCUUAACUUGGCAUCAGUCGGCAACUAUGACCUUUAACUUUGGAUGUGCACAAGUAGGCACUUAAACUUGCAUAAAAUUGAACAAAUAGACACGUGUGUUUCCUUAUUCAAUUUUAUACAAGUUUAAGUGUCUACUUGUGCAUACUCAAAGUUGGAGGGCAUAGUUGUCCGCUGAUGCCAAAGGUCAUGUUUAUGUAUUAUGCCUAAGUUUUUCUUUUCUUUUAAAUCAUAUUGAUGUAUGUUAUGUUGAAAUUUGUCAUAAGAUUAUUAUGUUAAUUUUUUUGUUUUAAAUUAAGAAAUAAUGUUAUAUUUUCAAUUUUAUUUGAUUUGGGAGUAUUAACUCGAUAUUUUACAUUGCAAGCUAUUCUUUUAAGCUAAACUUGAUAGAUUAUCUUUUUGUUAAAGAUUUUAUAAUUUUAUGACAUUAUUUUUAUAAGGCUUAACGCAUAAGCGAACAGUUAAAGUACGUCUAUCAGACACUUCAUGGGCAUUACCCGAAAAAUAUAAAUUCUGUGACUUUCAAACAGUAUAACAUGAAGAAAAAAAAAGUGAAUCAUAAUGCGACAUGUGGCAAAUUAAGAAAAAUAACUUUUAUUGAUUUUUUCCAUAAUUCUACCAUUAACAACAUCUUUUCUUCUUCUUUCUCUCUUUUUUAUCAUUAACAAAUAUGAUCAAAACUUGAAAUUACCAAGAAAUCAAAUAGGUACAACUCCGUAUUUAGGUAUUUUUAGCAACUUUGUUCAUGGGUUUUGCUUAAUUAUGUACGUACUUUUUUUAAUUCAACCAUGGGGAUUAAUGAUGCUUCAAUUAUACCAUUUUAAUUCUAACUUUUUUUUUACUGGAUUUAACAAAGAAAGUGAAGGAAGAGGACAUUUUCAAGAGGUGAUUAUGACAAUUGACAGUGUUGGGGGAAAUGGAGGAGAAGCAUUAAGAGGAGAAAAAAUAGGGAUAAAGAGAGAUAUUAGAGACCUCUCAUGCGCUUUUAAUGAGUGUUAUGCCAGAUCAGCAAUGUGUGCCUAAUAGACAGUUAGACACUCUUUGAAUAUAAAUUAGGUGUUUAAUAGGAAGAAGGCCUUCCUAAGGUGUCUAAACGGGAAUUAUUUUUUUAUGGUAGUUGAGGCACACCAUGUUAUAGUUGUGUGAGGGAUUAUUUUAGGCCAAAUCUAUUUGUGACUCCUUAAAGUUGGCACUAAAUUUCACUUAGACGCCUCAAUUGGGUGAUGUUCAUUUUUGACACUUUAUGUAGAGUCCCGUUGUCUGACACUUUUUGCUGACAUGUCAAAGUGAGUGUAAUACACUCAAUAAUAGAGCGUGAAAGACUCAAUUUAGCUAAUUUUUAUUUUAUUUUCUCUUCUUCUUCUCCAUUUUUCAAGCUACCACCUCCCACCAUUUUUUGAAGCUUAAAUCCUUCAAUGGAGGUCAAUUUUUUUAUUCAAAUCUGUAUUCAAGCCAUUUUUCUUCUUCUUCAUUAUAUUUCUUUUCUAAAUCUACAAUCACCCCCUUCACAUUUUUUAUCGGAAAAAUGAAUAUCAACACUCAUAUUUCAUAUUUAUUCUCUCUUUGUUUCUUCCUCUCCCUCUUUUCUUCCCACAUAACAACACUAAAAAGUAAAAGAAGGGAUUCGAAACAAUUUAAAAAGUUGAUAAAAAAAAAAUUUAAAAAUUGUUGGGUGUAAUAGAGAAGACAACUACCUUCGGGAAGGGGGAGAGGGGGGGGGGUUAAAUUGAUUUUUUUAGAAUAAUAUUUUUAUUUUAUUUUACUAAAUAGAUUUUAAAUUAGUUUUUAAUUUAAAAUUACACAUGUAAAUCAUUUAAUUGGUUGUUUGUCACGUCAUCAACGAGUGUAUUAUACUCUCCUUCAGCUUUUUGCUUAUUGUCAAAAAAAUGUCAAAAUGACAUAGCGGGUCCAUACAUAAGGUGCCUAAAAUGAACAUCAUCCAGUUGAGGUGUCUAAGUGAAACUUGAUGCCAACUUUAGGGGGUCACCGAUGGGUUGAUAAAAAAUUUAUAGGUCCCAUGUCUUUAUAACUUUUUCAUUUCUUUUCUCAUUCCUCCCCUCCACUUGACUCCGGAAAGGGAAGGCUCAAGUGUCUUAGGAGUAAUCAAGCUUGGUUUCGAGGUAGGUGAUGGUUCGAUUUCCUGUUUGUGUGAUAUAUGUCGGUUAAUUGCUUCAUUGUAUGCAUGCAAGUAUGUGAAUAGGGAAAUGUGAACCGAAUCUAAUGAAUUGACUAUGUGUGAACAAUUACAUGCCAUGAACCUAUUACUUGAUUGUGUGACUAUGAGUACUAUUCAUUAUGGGUGUGAUUGUGACUUUGGUUGUGCUGACUGGAUCGAGUGGCACGUUCCGACACAUAUAUUGGAUCGGGUGUCACAUUCCGACACAUAUAUUGAACUGGGUAUCACGUUCCGCCACAUGUACAUUGGAUCGGGUGUCACAUUCCGACACACUAACAAUUUGAGUUUGGGUUCCAUGAGAAGACCACUUGUGAUGAUUACGUUCAUAUUUACUUGUCAUUGAAUUUGAGAAAUUGUAUGUUGCUCCUAAAAUGAUAACUGAAACAUGCAUUAUGUAUAUGUGUGCUUAUUGUGUUGUAAUUGCUUGUGUAUAUUGUGCUUACUGGAGUAGCCGCGUGAUCCUACCAGUACAUCGUGGGUUGUGUAUUGUUACUGCACUUGCUCUUUCUUUGUUGAGUACAGGACAUUUUCAGGCUGCUAUUGACAUACCUCAGUUAGAAGAUUAUUGACCAGGACCGGAUUCGAGGGUGAGCCAGUUCUUUCAGGCUGUCAUGGAUCCUUCUUUUGUUUAGUCCAUUCUUUUCGGACUCAGACUAUAUGUUUAGAUUUGUUAUGUUUAGUUUCCGGGGUUGCACCCCCUUUUUCUUAGACUUGUUGGUUAAUAGAGUUUUGGUACAAUGACUUUCAGUUCUAUGGGUUGAACUUCCGCGAUGAUUAUGUUAGUUGUUUUGUUUAAAACUUCACAGUUUAUGGAAACUUCACUUUUAGUUCAUCAUUUAAACCUGCUUCCGUAUCUUUAAAUGGUGUAGUUUCUUAAAAUUGCUUAGUUGGGUUGUAUUAGUGGUUCUCCCACCGGAUGGUUGGUGUGGGUGCCAAUCACGGCAAUUUGGAUCGUGACACAUAGUGAGCAUUUUUUUUUUUGACAACUCUAAAAUUACUCGACUAUUCUUAAUGCCUAUAUUUCUAUGGUCGUCUGUUCAUAGUGAAGUGCCGGUAGAUUUUUAUAUGUAUCAACUAAGUAAGGCUAAAUGGUAUAUUUCUAUUUUAAUAGCGUAUCGUUCCCCUUUCUCUAUAAGGUAAAUAAACAAGCCCAACACUUUGUUUUAUUUCACUCAUAAUUCACUCUUUCAAGCCUAAUUAACGAGCCUCAAAUUAAAUAGUGUAUUAAUAGUUGGCCAAAAAUAAAAAAAUAAGAUAAAAAAGAAAUAAAUAACCAAACGAGUCAUAGCAUGAUGAUAAUAAUCUUAACAAGUCAAUUCUCGUUCAUACGGCAGUUACCAUAACCCUACACAUUUUGCAUAAUUAUGAGAGCUUGUCUUGGUGUAUAAUUCAGUUCCCAUAAAGAUAGUGUUCCUUGCUUUUCAAAUCCUGUAAAAUCACCCACAAUGUCUGAAUGAUGCAAUGUUACGUUAUCACAGUGCUGUUCAAACAGCUUCCCAGUAUUGAAAAAAGGGAGAAGGUACGGAUUUACCCCCGAACUUUAAUAAAUGGUAUGUCUAUGCCCUCCGUUAUACUUUCCGUCCACAUAAGCCCCUGCCGUCCAAUUUUCGGUACACACAUGCCCCUCUCACUAACGGACCCCUCGUUUUGUACACGUGUUUUAAUCCUAAUCAACUACCCGUUUGACCAUUCUUUUAACCCAUAAACCCACAACCCGCCCCAUAAACCCAAUAACCCACCCGAUUCCCUCUAAAAGGAAUCCUAAUUAAAAGACCCAGAAUAUGAUGUUGAAAUUGUUGGUGGUGGUGCUGAUGAUGCCGGUGUUUCAACAAACACCUCAUACUCCUCCUUCAGCGACUCACACCUAUACCCAUAAUCAUACCCAUAUUCCUCAGCGGCUUGUAGCUCAACCCUGGCUGCCUCCUCCGAAGCCAAAACCAACAACCUCUUGAUCUCAUCCCUCCUCGCCACCGAACGCCUCCAUUUCCGUCUAACCAUAAAACCUGACACUGGUCCAAAAACCGCCAUGAACGCUGCCACCACCAAGCUCGAGAGAAACCCUAGAUCCCCUCCCACGAGCAUUUACACAAACCCACAAACAACAACAGAUCACAUCCAAACCCUAAUCCUUCCAAAUUCAUAGAGCUCUAUACCACCCCUCCACCGAUCACGAUGUUGAAAAUACUCCACCACACAAAGAUCAAAACUUUGCAUGCACACAGAAUUCAAUCAACCAAAAUUGUGGAGAAAUCGAGAGAGGAAAGUGCAAUAAAGUCACUGGAAGAGAGAAGAUUCAGACCCAAAGAGAAUUUUUUUUCUCCUAGAACGAGAAUUUAGGGGAUUUUUUUAAAGUUUGAAGUUUAGGGGAAAAUUGAAAAAGGAAACUAAAUAAUAAGAUUACUUAGCAGCGCUAUAAGUGUUGAACUCCUGAAGGGAUAGGGUUUGUGGCUUCUUCUUCUUCGUUUUGGUGGUGGCAGCAGCGUCCAAAGAUGGAAAAUCGGCAAGGCCACCGGCACCGCCGCCAUUGGAGUGAUUUUCAACCUUCACUGACCCUUCACUGACUCUUCAUUUGGAAUGUUUAAUUAACUUAGAUAUUUUAGAGGAAAUCGGGUGGGUUAUUGGGUUUAUGGGGCGGGUUGUGGGUUUAUGGGUUAAAAGAAUGGUCAAACGGGUAGUUGAUUAGGAUUAAAACACGUGUACAAAACGAGGGGUCCGUUAGUGAGAGGGGCAUGUGUGUACCGAAAAUUGGACGGCAGGGGCUUAUGUGGACGGAAAGUAUAACGGAGGGCAUAGACGUACCAUUUAUUAAAGUUCGGGGGUAAAUCCGUACCUUCUCCCUUGAAAAAAUGAUCCAUUGCCUCUACUUUAAGUUCUUCCUUUACAAAAAGCCAACAAUCCUUGAUGAAUUGAAGAAAACAUAUUACUACUAUUAUGCAAUAAGUUAGGCUUCUUCACAACCUUUGUUCAUAGAAAUAAUAUGUAGAUACAUUUAUUUACCUAGAAGCUGAGAUAUUGCACUCGUAUUGGCAUAUCUUAUUUGUUGAAUUUGCAUGCCCUUAUACUCUAUAUUAAUGCAUGCUCAAUUGUAUAACUAACUUAGAAGAGUCUCCACAAAUAUUUCUACGACCAACCAAUGUUUGGAAUGCCAAUACUCAAGUCAGUCUCCACCCGGCUACACUUGUCCUUUUCUGUCAGUUGGGCUGCUCGUGUUAACUCAACCGGUAGUUCUAAUGUUGCCGGCCUUACUCGUCCACACUAGCAACAUCAUGAUUUUAUAAGAAUUCUCAACAAAAACACAUGUAGUUGAAGAGUUUAUGUUUGAUGGUGCAAGAAAUAUUUACAUAAUAAGUCGUCUUCAAUGUGGAAAAUCAAACCGUCCCCAACAAGGUAAAGAGUUCAGGUAGUCAACCAACUGAGUUACUAAGAUUCCCCACAUAAUAAGUCGUUGAUAAAGUAAAUUACAAGUAAAUCUCGAUGUUAACCAACAAGAUUAUGAUAACAGAUUGUUCAUCACUAC
rnacentral:lncRNA from 1 species